rnacentral:rRNA from 1 species
GUAGGUGGCAAGCGUUGUCCGGAAUUAUUGGGCGUAAAGCGCGCGCAGGCGGUUCUUUAAGUCUGAUGUGAAAGCCCACGGCUCAACCGUGGAGGGUCACUGGAAACUGGAGAACUUGAGUACAGAAGAGGAAAGCGGAAUUCCACGUGUAGCGGUGAAAUGCGUAGAGAUGUGGAGGAACACCAGUGGCGAAGGCGGCUUUUCUGGUCUGUAACUGACGCUGAGGCGCGAAAGCGUGGGGAGCAAACAGGGAUUAGAUACCCUGGUAGUCCACGCCGUAAACGAUGAGUGCUAAGUGUUAGGGGGUUUCCGCCCCCUUAGUGCUGCAGCUAACGCAUUAAGCACUCCGCCUGGGGAGUACGGCCGCAAGGCUG